GGCAUUUCCAAUUGAUCUAAAUUGUUUAAUUUUAUUGAAAUAAAUCUUUUUUAAUUGGUAUCUAGUUAAAUAAUUAAUAAACUUUUUUUUAUUUGAUUGGUGGAGUUCCAUUGCAUGGUGUGACACCCAAUAUGUGAGACUCUUAUUGGAGAGAUGAUUAUGUUCUGACACUGUUUUCAUGAUUAUUGAGUGAUUACGUAAUUACCUAAUUGUAAC